AAUAGAUACCCGGGUAGUCCACGCCGUAAACGAUGAAUACUAGGUGUGGGAGUUAUCGUGACUUCCGUGCCGCAGUUAACACAAUAAGUAUUCCGCCUGAGGAGUACGGUCGCAAGAUUAAAACUCAAAGGAAUUGACGGGGGCCCGCGACAAGCAGCGGAGCAUGUGGUUUAAUUCGAAGCAACGCGAAGAACCUUACCUAGACUUGACAUCAUUCUGCAUACUCAGUAAUGUGAGGAAGCCUCCUUUUCGGGGGCGGAAUGACAGGUGGUGCAUGGUUGUCGUCAGCUCGUGUCGUGAGAUGUUGGGUUAAGUCCCGCAACGAGCGCAACCCUUGUCGUUAGUUGCUACCAUUAAGUUGAGCACUCUAGCGAGACUGCCGCGGUUAACGCGGAGGAAGGUGGGGAUGACGUCAAAUCAUCAUGCCCCUUAUGUCUAGGGCUACACACGUGCUACAAUGGGCAGUACAAUGUGAUGCAAUCCCGUNAGGGGANCUAAACNCGAAAACUGUUCCCAGUUCGGAUUGC
rnacentral:rRNA from 1 species